rnacentral:rRNA from 1 species
GAUGAACGCUGGCGGCGUGCCUAACACAUGCAAGUCGAACGGAAAGGCUCCUACUUGCUGCGGUACUCGAGUGGCGAACGGGUGAGUGUCACGUGGGUGUUCUGCCCUGCACUUCCGGAUAAGCCUGGGAAACUGGGUCUACUACCGGACAGGACGAUGGUUUCGAUGCCAUUCUGGAAAGUUUUUCGGUGUGGGAUGGGCUGGCGGCCUAUCCGCUUGUUGGUGGGGUAAUGGCCUACGAAGCCGCCGACGGGUAGCCGGCCUCGGAGGGUGUACGGGCACAUUGGGACUGAGAGACGGCCCAGACGGGUACGGGAGGCAGCGGUGGGGAGUAUUGCACAAUGGGCGCGAGCGGGUGGCGGCGGCGCCGGGUGGGGGAAGACGGCCUUCGGGUUGUAAACACCUUUCGCUAGAGACGAAGCGCUAGUGACGGUACCUGGAGAAGAAGCACCGGCUAACUACGUG